rnacentral:rRNA from 1 species
UAAUUUAAAGUCUAACCUGCCCAAUGAUUAUUUGAAUGGCUGCGGUAAUUUGACCGUACUAAGGUAGCAUAAUAAUUAGUUUUUUAAUUGAAAGCUGGUAUGAAUGGUUGGACGAGAGAAUAGCUGUCUCAAUUUAAUUUAAUUAGAAUUUUAUUUUUAAGUCAAAAAGCUUAAAUAAUUUUAAAAGACGAGAAGACCCUAUAGAGUUUUAUAUUUUUUAGUUAUUAUAGAUUUUAAGGAUUUUAUAUUUAUUUGAUUAAAAAAUAUUUUGUUGGGGUGACAAAAAAAUUGAACAAACUUUUUUUAUAUUAUAUCACUGAUUUGUGAAUAAGUGAUCCAU